rnacentral:rRNA from 1 species
GAUGAACGCUAGCGGCAGGCUUAAUACAUGCAAGUUGAGGGGCAGCAGGGGUAGCAAUACUCGCUGGCGACCGGCAAACGGGUGCGGAACACGUACGCAACCUUCCCAAAACUGGUGAAUAGCCCUCCGAAAGGAGGAUUAAUACACCGUAAGAUGAUGAAGUGGCAUCACUUUAUUAUUAUAGCUCCGGCGGUUUUGGAUGGGCGUGCGCCUGAUUAGGUAGUUGGCGGGGUAACGGCCCACCAAGCCUGCGAUCAGUAACUGGUGUGAGAGCACGACCAGUCACACGGGCACUGAGACACGGGCCCGACUCCUACGGGAGGCAGCAGUAAGGAAUAUUGGUCAAUGGACGCAAGUCUGAACCAGCCAUGCCGCGUGAAGGAUGACGGCCCUCUGGGUUGUAAACUUCUUUUAUCUGGGACGAAAAAAGGAAAUUCUUUUCCACUUGACGGUACCAGAGGAAUAAGCACCGGCUAACUCCGUGCCAGCAGCCGCGGUAAUACGGAGGGUGCAAGCGUUAUCCGGAUUUACUGGGUUUAAAGGGUGCGUAGGUGGGUCUGUAAGUCAGUGGUGAAAUCUUCAAGCUUAACUUGGAAACUGCCAUUGAUACUAUAGGUCUUGAAUUAUCUGGAGGUAAGCGGAAUAUGUCAUGUAGCGGUGAAAUGCUUAGAUAUGACAUAGAACACCAAUUGCGAAGGCAGCUUACUACGGAUCGAUUGACACUGAGGCACGAAAGCGUGGGGAUCAAACAGGAUUAGAUACCCUGGUAGUCCACGCCCUAAACGAUGGAUACUCGACAUACGCGAUACACUGUGUGUGUCUGAGCGAAAGCAUUAAGUAUCCC